AGAGUUUGAUCCUGGCUCAGAUUGAACGCUGGCGGCAUGCCUUACACAUGCAAGUCGAACGGUAACAGGGAGCUUGCUCCGCUGACGAGUGGCGAACGGGUGAGUAAUAUAUCGGAACGUACCUUUGAGUGGGGGAUAACUAGUCGAAAGACUAGCUAAUACCGCAUACGAUCUACGGAUGAAAGUGGGGGCUCGCAAGACCUCAUGCUCAUAGAGCGGCCGAUAUCUGAUUAGCUAGUUGGUGAGGUAAAGGCUCACCAAGGCAUCGAUCAGUAGCUGGUCUGAGAGGACGACCAGCCACACUGGGACUGAGACACGGCCCAGACUCCUACGGGAGGCAGCAGUGGGGAAUUUUGGACAAUGGGGGCAACCCUGAUCCAGCAAUGCCGCGUGAGUGAAGAAGGCCUUCGGGUUGUAAAGCUCUUUUGUCAGGGAAG
rnacentral:rRNA from 1 species